GUGAGGAAUAUUGGACAAUGGGCGCAAGCCUGACGCAGCCAUGCCGCGUGAAUGAUGAAGGUCUUAGGAUUGUAAAAUUCUUUCACCGGGGACGAUAAUGACGGUACCCGGAGAAGAAGCCCCGGCUAACUUCGUGCCAGCAGCCGCGGUAAUACGAAGGGGGCUAGCGUUGCUCGGAUUUACUGGGCGUAAAGGGCGCGUAGGCGGACAUUUAAGUCAGGGGUGAAAUCCCGGGGCUCAACCUCGGAACUGCCUUUGAUACUGGGUGUCUUGAGUAUGAGAGAGGUGUGUGGAACUCCGAGUGUAGAGGUGAAAUUCGUAGAUAUUCGGAAGAACACCAGUGGCGAAGGCGACACACUGGCUCAUUACUGACGCUGAGGCGCGAAAGCGUGGGGAGCAAACAGGAUUAGAUACCCUGGUAGUCC
rnacentral:rRNA from 1 species